GGCCUGGUGGUCUAGUAGUAUGAUUCCUUGUUAGGGUUACCAAAUUUCCUGAUUUGGUGAUUAUCGAGGAGGUCCCGGGUUCAAUUCCCGGCCAGGCCC
rnacentral:tRNA from 1 species